AUCUUUGCGCUUGGGGCAAUGACGCACCUAGUGAGGUUAUACCGAGGCACGUCAAGUGCUGGUUGAAAACUAUUUCCAAACCCCUUCUUUGGCCCUUCGGGGUUAUAAUUCUAAAUUAUAACAUUUUAGGUGCUUUUGAAUAUAUUUAAGUGAAAAUG
rnacentral:snRNA from 1 species